GGUGGAGGCACCAAACUCAUCGUUGACUUGGGAGUGGUGCAGCCCACGCUGAGCGUCCUCCCUCCCUCCAGAGUGGAGCUGGAGCAGGGCAGUGCUACACUAGUGUGUGUGGCCAGUGGGGGCUUCCCCUCAGACUGGAAGCUUGGCUGGAAGGUGGGGGGCAGCAGCAGGUCUGGGGGGGUGUCAGAUAGCCUGGGGGUCCUGGGGAAAGAUGGCCACUACAGCUGGAGCAGCACCUUGACCCUCCCUGCAGACCAGUGGAGGAAGGCGGGCUCAGUGAGCUGUGAGGCCAGUAAGAAUGGCCAGACGCAGCCUGUCACUCAAACCCUGAAUCCUGGAGACUGUUCAGAGUAG